GACGAACGCUGGCGGCGUGCUUAACACAUGCAUGUGGUGCGACGAACCAGGCUUCGGCCUGGGGCGAAGCCGCGAACGGGUGAGUAACACGUGGGCAAUCUGCCCCUUUGAUCGGGACAACCCGGGGAAACCCGGGCUAAUACCGAAUGAGGUGGCGACUCAUGAGAGUCGUCACGAAAGGAAGCUUCGGCCUCCGCGAAGGGAUGAGCCCGCGGCCCAUUAGCUUGUUGGUGGGGUAAUGGCCUACCAAGGCAACGAUGGGUAGCUGGUCUGAGAGGGAGAUCAGCCACACUGGGACUGAGAAACGGCCCAGACUCCUACAGGGGGCUGCAGUGGGGAAUCUUGCGCAAUGAGCGACAGCUUGACGCAGCAACGCCGCGUGAGGGAAGAAGGCUUUCGGGUCGUAAACCUCUUUCAGUUAGGACGAAGCUUUAUUGGUUAAUAACCAAUUGGAGUGACGGUACUUUCAGAAGAAGCCCCGGCUAACUACGUGCCAGCCGCCGCGGUAA
rnacentral:rRNA from 1 species